UCCUGUUCCUAAGUACUAGUGCCGCAGGAGUGAUUAGGCUGUACGAGACAUUACCGUAUCUCCUGCUGCUCAAGUGCUUAUCAACGGGU
rnacentral:pre_miRNA from 1 species